UGGGGAAUUUUGGACAAUGGGGGAAACCCUGAUCCAGCCAUCCCGCGUGUGCGAUGAAGGCCUUCGGGUUGUAAAGCACUUUUGGCAGGAAAGAAACGUCAUGGGUUAAUACCCCGUGAAACUGACGGUACCUGCAGAAUAAGCACCGGCUAACUACGUGCCAGCAGCCGCGGUAAUACGUAGGGUGCAAGCGUUAAUCGGAAUUACUGGGCGUAAAGCGUGCGCAGGCGGUUCGGAAAGAAAGAUGUGAAAUCCCAGAGCUCAGCUUUGGAACUGCAUUUUUAACUACCGGGCUAGAGUGUGUCAGAGGGAGGUGGAAUUCCGCGUGUAGCAGUGAAAUGCGUAGAUAUGCGGAGGAACACCGAUGGCGAAGGCAGCCUCCUGGGAUAACACUGACGCUCAUGCACGAAAGCGUGGGGAGCAAACAGG
rnacentral:rRNA from 1 species